rnacentral:rRNA from 1 species
GAUGAACGCUGGCGGCGUGCCUAAUACAUGCAAGUCGAGCGAACAGACGAGGAGCUUGCUCCUUUGACGUUAGCGGCGGACGGGUGAGUAACACGUAGGUAACCUACCUAUAAGACUGGGAUAACUUCGGGAAACCGGAGCUAAUACCGGAUAAUAUUUCGAACCGCAUGGUUCGAUAGUGAAAGAUGGCUUUGCUAUCACUUAUAGAUGGACCUGCGCCGUAUUAGCUAGUUGGUAAGGUAACGGCUUACCAAGGCAACGAUACGUAGCCGACCUGAGAGGGGGAUCGGCCAAACGGAACCUGAAAACGGUCCCAGACCCUAACGGGAGGCAGAAGUAGGGAAUCUUCGGAAAUGGGGGAAAGCCUGAGGGAGAAACGCGGCUGAAGGAAUAAAGGUCUUCGGUUCGAAAAACUCUUUAUUAGGGAAGAACAAACGUGUAAGUAACUGUGCACGUCUUGACGGUACCUAAUCAGAAAGCCACGGCUAACUACGUG